rnacentral:lncRNA from 1 species
CUGCAAGUAUCUCUUUCUUGAACAUCCUCCGGUGUAAUUCCUUUUAUGUUGCACUGCCACUUCAGUCCACUGAUUAAUGGCCUGCCGUACUUCCUUUAUCCAUCAACAUUCUUCGAACAAGUGGAUCCUAGUCUCCAACACUAUAGUGCCUCAGGCAGACAACACUCAGGAUUAUCUACCUGAAUGUUUAGUCUAAGUUUGUCAACAGUCAUCCUGAUAAAGCUACUGAUGACCAAAUCAAUUCUGCACCUUAUGGCCACCCUAAUUUUUGAAGACAUAAUCGGAGGGCUUCACUUAAAGGUUCAACACUUGGUUACCCCAAGGGCACAAGAAUAUGCAAGGAAGACUCGCUUUGAGCACAAGCAAGGUCGUGUGUGGAAGAUUGCUUGGAGCAUCGAAGACUGGUUUUGGAUAACACUUAAUGGGUCACGGUUUGAUCAUUUUCAUUAAGUCCAAAUACACUCUAUGGCCACCCCUCCCUUUAAGGUCAUUAUUGUCAUUUUGUCUUAUCUUGUAAUAGAAUAUAAAUAGGAUAUUUUAGGUUUUUUCUCUUGGGUUGUUCAUGGAUGUAAGACUUGAAACAUGAAAUACCUUUAGUUGUAGGGCUUGGAAUAGCCACCACACCGAAAUGAGAGCAACAAGUGUGAAUAUCACUUGUGUUGCAAUGUUGGCUUGAGACGUUGGUGUUUAGAGGAGGUAAAGUUUCUCUUGUGUCAACAUAGGAGAUAGGUUUAUUGUUGUUUGUAGUGUUAAGGUUCCAAGAGUCCAUUCUUGGGUUCUUAAGACUAUACCUUUAUGUGGUCUAUCUAUCUAUUCUUUGUUUUGUUGUAAUCGUUGUUUCUUGUUUCUUGUUCUUGUUAAUGUAACUUGUGAGGUGUUGUUAUUGUUACCACCUUGUUGCCUUUCAUCUUGUAUUCAUAUUAUUUGUUGCUAAAUCUAGUUUGGGUGGCUGCCUUGCUGUUAAAUCUCACCCUUAUAUCUCGUUAUUGUGUUGUAUUAUUGAAUCUGAGUGUGGUCUUCAAAAGGAUCCUCGGAUCUUUAAUCUUGUGAACUGAUUUUGAAGUG